UACGUAGGGUGCAAGCGUUAAUCGGAAUUACUGGGCGUAAAGCGUGCGCAGGCGGUUGUGUAAGGCAGAUGUGAAAUCCCCGGGCUCAACCUGGGAAUGGCAUUUGAGACUGCACAGCUAGAGUGUGUCAGAGGGGGGUAGAAUUCCACGUGUAGCAGUGAAAUGCGUAGAGAUGUGGAGGAAUACCGAUGGCGAAGGCAGCCCCCUGGGAUAACACUGACGCUCAUGCACGAAAGCGUGGGGAGCAAACAGG
rnacentral:rRNA from 1 species